rnacentral:rRNA from 1 species
GACAAACGCUGGCGGCGUGCCUAACACAUGCAAGUCGAGCGAUCGGCUCGGGAGGGGUAACCCACCCGAGUACGGAGCGGCGAACGGGUGAGUAACACGUGGGCAACCUGCCCCAGGCUCUGGAACAACCCCGGGAAACCGGGGCUGAUGCCGGAUCUUCUCGAGCACUCGCAUGGGAGCUCGAGGAAAGUUCAGGCGGCCUGGGAUGGGCCCGCGGCCUAUCAGCUAGUUGGUGGGGUAACGGCCCACCAAGGCGACGACGGGUAGCUGGCGUGAGAGCGUGGCCAGCCACACUGGGACUGAGACACGGCCCAGACUCCUACGGGAGGCAGCAGUGGGGAAUCUUGCACAAUGGGCGAAAGCCUGAUGCAGCGACGCCGCGUGGGGGAUGAAGGCCUUCGGGUUGUAAACCCCUUUCGGCAGGGAAGAAGCCGCAAGGUGACGGUACCUGCAGAAGAAGCCCCGGCCAACUACGUGCCAGCCGCCGCGGUAAAAC